rnacentral:rRNA from 1 species
AUUGAACGCUGGCGGCAUGCUUUACACAUGCAAGUCGAACGGCAGCACGGGGGCAACCCUGGUGGCGAGCGGCGAACGGGUGAGUAAUACAUCGGAACGUGUCCUAUUGUGGGGGAUAACCAGUCGAAAGAUUGGCUAAUACCGCAUGAGCUGGAGACAGGAAAGCGGGGGACCCGCAAGGGCCUCGCGCGAUUGGAGCGGCCGAUGUCCGAUUAGCUAGUAGGAGGGUAAAGGCCUACCUAGGCGACGAUCGGUAGCUGGUCUGAGAGGAUGAUCAGCCACACUGGGACUGAGACACGGCCCAGACUCCUACGGAGGCAGCAGUGGGAAUUUUGGACAAUGGGGCAACCCUGAUCCAGCCAUGCCGCGUGAGUGAAGAAGGCCUGG